rnacentral:pre_miRNA from 1 species
AGUGCAGUUGCUGGUAGCUACAUUUUUUAUUUUUUAAGAAACUGCUCAGCUGUUUUUCACAAUGGCUGUACAGUUGUACAUUUCCUCCAGCAAU